GCCCCCGUGGCGGAACUGGCAGACGCGCUAGCUUCAGGGGCUAGUAGCCGCAAGGCUGUAGAGGUUCAAAUCCUCUCGGGGGCACCA
rnacentral:tRNA from 1 species